UACGGGGGGGGCAAGCGUUGUUCGGAAUUACUGGGCGUAAAGGGCUCGUAGGUGGCCAACUAAGUCAGACGUGAAAUCCCUCGGCUUAACCGGGGAACUGCGUCUGAUACUGGAUGGCUUGAGUUCGGGAGAGGGAUGCGGAAUUCCAGGUGUAGCGGUGAAAUGCGUAGAUAUCUGGAGGAACACCGGUGGCGAAGGCGGCAUCCUUGACCAACACUGACGCUGAGGAGCGAAAGCCAGGGGAGCAAACGGG
rnacentral:rRNA from 1 species